rnacentral:rRNA from 1 species
GAGAAACUGGAUUCGGGCUCGGCCCGAUCCUCCCACCCUUUGUGUACCUACCUCUGUUGCUUUGGCGGGCCGCGGUCCUCCGCGGCCGCCCCCCUCCCCGGGGGGGUGGCCAGCGCCCGCCAGAGGACCAUCAAACUCCAGUCAGUAAACGAUGCAGUCUGAAAAACAUUUAAUAAACUAAAACUUUCAACAACGGAUCUCUUGGUUCUGGCAUCGAUGAAGAACGCAGCGAAAUGCGAUAAGUAAUGUGAAUUGCAGAAUUCAGUGAAUCAUCGAAUCUUUGAACGCACAUUGCGCCCUUUGGUAUUCCGAAGGGCAUGCCUGUUCGAGCGUCAUUACAACCCUCAAGCUCUGCUUGGUAUUGGGCACCGUCCUUUGCGGGCGCGCCUCAAAGACCUCGGCGGUGGCGUCUUGCCUCAAGCGUAGUAGAACAUACAUCUCGCUUCGGAGCGCAGGGCGUCGCCCGCCGGACGAACCUUCUGAACUUUUCUCAAGGUUGACCUCGGAUCAGGUAGGGAUACCCGCUGAACUUAAGCAUAUCAAUAAGACGGAGGAA